rnacentral:rRNA from 1 species
UACAGAGGUCUCAAGCGUUGUUCGGAUUCAUUGGGCGUAAAGGGUGCGUAGGUGGCGGGGUAAGUCAGGUGUGAAAUUUCGGAGCUUAACUCCGAAACUGCAUUUGAUACUGCCUUGCUUGAGGACUGGAGAGGAGACUGGAAUUCACGGUGUAGCAGUGAAAUGCGUAGAUAUCGUGAGGAAGACCAGUGGCGAAGGCGGGUCUCUGGACAGUUCCUGACACUGAGGCACGAAGGCCAGGGGGAGCAAACGGG